rnacentral:siRNA from 1 species
AUGCGGUAAUCUCCUGAUCAUCCU